UUUCCGGUGGGCAACUGGGUAUCGUAGACAUGUUCCAAAGUCAGCGCAGAAAAUAUGGAAAAAUAUAAUCGCCUCGUAUAGAUAUUUCAAUAACACGUAAACUUGACGUUGAACCGUCGAUACAUUAACUUUUUAAGUUGGUUUAAAAUAACUAACAUUACGCAAACCUGUCAUCAUCAGGGAACCAUGAGGCUGUUAAAAUGUGUUGUAGCCGGCAGCCAUAUCACCCUGGAGCCCAAGACCGGUUUCCCACUGAAGCUAAGCAGGGCUGAGCCUGGUCAGUACCUGGAUGGGAGACCUCCUGAGAAAGCUAGGUUGCUGCUGGAAGAGGUGCUAGUGAGGCCAGCAGGGGGUGCUCACCCUGUGGUCUGUGUGGGUCCUAGCGCCCCAGUGUAGUGAUGGGGACGCUAUACUGUCAACGAGCACCGUCCUUCGGAUGAGACGUUAAACCGAGGUCCUGACUCUCUGUGGUCAUUAAAAAUCCCAGGAUGUCUUUCGAAAAGAGUAGAGGUGUGACCUCGGCAUCCUGGCUAAAUUCGCCCAUUGGCCUCUGACCAUCAUGGCCUCCUAACAAUCCCCAUAUCCGCUGAUUGGCUUCAUACCUCCGUCUCCUCUCCACCAGUAAGCUGGUGUGUGGUGGGCGUUCUGGCGCAAUAUGGCUGCCGUCGCAUCUUCCAGGUGGAUGCUGCACACUGGUGGUGGAUGAGGAGAUACCCCCUGUCUAUGUAAAGCGCUUUGAGUGCCUAGAAAAGCGCUAUAUAAAUGUAAGGAAUUAUUAUUAUUAAUUAUUAGCUGAUGACUGUAUGUGGAAUAACGUGCGGAAACUUCAUGUUAGUGAAUAAACAAAGGCUGUGCUCGAUUCUGACAUGCCAUGGAUAGAGAAACCUUUCACAACUGCAGCAGUUUGGUCAAAAUGCCCAGGCAGAUCCAUCAACAGCAAUGCUCAUCUCAUUUCAUGAGUACAUGGGGAGAGAAAUACCCUACUCAAAAUUCUUACCCUGCAUGUUUUCCAAAAAAUUCACAGAAGACUGGAAUUGCAGAAAAAACUGGGUCACGGCUGAUGGCAACCCUAACUUCCAAAGACUUCUACAUGAAUUUGAUGAGACUCCUGUGCCUGUUGCAAACUGCAGUGCAAAAGAAUACAACUCCAACCCGAAGCAGAUCUUGCCUUUUAAGGAGUUUAUCCAGUACUGGAGAGUGUACAUUCAGAAUGGGCAUUCUUCACCCAAAGGAUGUCUUUACUUAAAGGAUUGGCAUAUGCAAAGGUACAGCUCUUCAGAAGAGUGUAGCAUGGAUUAUUGUUCAAUAGCUUUGAAUGUGAUGCAUAAGAUUAGCUUGGAAACGUUGUAGUAAAAUACAGGAAAAAUAGAUGUAUAAAAGGCUUUUGUACUUUACAUAAUGUCAAGUGUGUUUAUGUUCAUUUUAGGAACUUCUCUGAACAUAAUACUUACAAGACCCCAAUUUACUUCUCCUCUGAUUGGCUGAAUGAAUAUUGGGACACAAUUGAAGUGGAUGAUUAUCGAUUGUCAUAUACAUUUGUCAUAUACAGUACAGUUGGGUGUAAAAGUCUGUAUCCACGUUUAAGUCUUUGGAUUUUGACAAAAUGUACAACAAAGGAACAUUAUGAUGUAAAAUGAAGAAAUAUGUAUUAUUGGACUGUCAUUUGCACAAAAUUGUCUUUUGGAAAACACAGGAUUGCUCUUUCGAGCGUUCUUAAAUAAUGCUGAAUAAUGUGCUUUUACUGAAGCAAAAGAGGACAUACCAAAUGCUAAGAAAUUAUUGUUUGUGUGGACACGUCUUUGGUUCGGUCUUAGUGUCCGUUCCGGAUAAAGGGGGUUCGAAACUCACGCAACCUUGUGGGUGUUGUCAGGAGUAAAUGAAUCAGUUGUAUUAGAGUCAGAGUUAGAGUUAGAUAGUUGUGUCGUCAUCGUUAUUGUGUCAUAUAUGUGUUAGGGCAGAAUAUUAUUAGAUUAUAUCAGGUUAUAUUAGUAAUAGUAUAUUGUUAAUAUUAAUUAAAGUAGUUAUAUUAUAGUAUUGUUAUAUGAAUUAGAUCAGAUUUUUUGGAUUGCUUUGGCUUUUUUUAUUUGGAUUGGACUGCUUUUUGAUUUGGAUUGCCCUUUUGGAUUUGUUUGCUUUUUGUGACCUCUUCCUUUUUCCUUGUAAUGGAGCCAGCAAGAAAGAGGAAUCCUCCCGUCUGGGAUUUUUUUUUAAAUGGUUGGUCACAAUAAGGUGAAAUGCUUGCUGUGUCCAAAGGAGAUGACAUACAACAAUAACACCUCCUCCAUGCUCAGGCAUUAUCGAGCACUGCACAAGCAUGCAAAGACUACUAACAAUCUUUAUCAAUCAAAUCAAAUCAAUAUUUAUCCAAAGUGAAUCUCACAAGAUCUGAGGAUCCACUAGUAUAUUGGGCUCAACAUAAACAUCUCUAUCCUCAUUUACAGCUGGCACUGACAUUUUUAUGUUCCCCCGCAUCCUCUGUUCUAUGCGAAAGGAUCUUUUCCAAGGCUGGAGAGGUUCUGUCCAAAAGGAGGAAUCAUCUAAGCCCCAACACACUUGAAAAAAUUAUGUUCCUCAAUAAAAAUAAUGUGUGAUCCUUCCUUCACCCACCCCAAACUGCAGUGUUGCAGUUUGUUCCUCUUAAUCCACAGUCCCAUAGGCACAACACUGCACUAAAACUAGUAACAGUUUAAUGCACAAAACACACCAGAAACAAUUCUUAACCUUUCCCAACCCACACUUUUCUGUUGCAACUUGCGUUAUUACACUCCCUCCACCAUAAGAACUACACUCAACACAGUCUCGCUUUUGCUGUUCCUACUGUCACUAUCCAAACAGUUUAUGAAUAAUGAAUGAACUGUGUGUGACAGUUGUCUCUGCACAAGCAAAUUCAGACAGAGAGAGAAACAUAUUUUAUUUGAUACCCAGGCAAUGGACAAAUGUCUGCUCAGGUCAUUGAUUCAGUUUUUUUUUAUUGGUCUGCUAUUUCUUUGCACAGUAGCUAGGCUCCUCCCCUUUCAGCUUGAUUGAUUACCUUUGAUUCUCCUCUGGACCUGUAGAGUUUAUGCAUUAACAAAUGAGAACGUUCUGGAAUGUCACUAGCCAAUGGAAGGCUUGAUAAGAUUCUGAGAUUUUCUGAAGUUUACAAUUACAUUUUGACAGUUUGUCUAUGUCCCAUUUGCGACAUUCAUUCUUUUGAGUCAAUUGUUCAAAGGCUUGUUCAAACCAGUUGGCUAACCAUUUGAAUUGGUUAGUGAAUUAGUUUGAAUGACUUGUUCAGUAUCCUGCCGUGCACGUUGAGCGUUUG